rnacentral:rRNA from 1 species
UAGGGAAUCUUCCGCAAUGGACGAAAGUCUGACGGAGCAACGCCGCGUGAGUGAAGAAGGAUUUCGGUUCGUAAAACUCUGUGGUUAGGGAAGAAAAAAUGUAUAGUAACUAUAUACAAAAGAGACGGUACCUAACCAGAAAGCCACGGCUAACUACGUGCCAGCAGCCGCGGUAAUACGUAGGUGGCAAGCGUUGUCCGGAAUUAUUGGGCGUAAAGCGCGCGCAGGUGGUUUAGAAAGUCUGAUGUGAAAGCCCACGGCUCAACCGUGGAGGGUCAUUGGAAACUAAUAAACUUGAGUGCAGGAGAGAAAAGUGGAAUUCCUAGUGUAGCGAUGAAAUGCGUAGAGAUUAGGAGGAACACCGGUGGCGAAAGCGGCUUUUUGGCCUGCAACUGACACUGAGGCGCGAAAGCGUGGGGAGCAAACAGG